UACGUAGGGUGCGAGCGUUAAUCGGAAUUACUGGGCGUAAAGCGUGCGCAGGCGGUUCGUUGUGUCGGCGGUGAAAGCCCCGGGCUUAACCUGGGAAUGGCCGUUGAAACUGGCGAACUGGAGUGUGGCAGAGGGGGGUGGAAUUCCGCGUGUAGCAGUGAAAUGCGUAGAGAUGCGGAGGAACACCGAUGGCGAGGGCAGCCCCCUGGGCUAACACUGACGCUCAGGCACGAAAGCGUGGGGAGCAAACAGG
rnacentral:rRNA from 1 species